rnacentral:rRNA from 1 species
UACCCGCAGCACAAGUGGUGGUCAUUAUUAUUGGGCCUAAAGCGUCCGUAGCUGGCUUGUUAGAUGCCUGGGUAAAUCGAUGCGCUUAACGUAUCGAAUUCCGGGUAGACCGGCAAGCUCGAGACCGGGAGAGGUGUAGGGUACUCGGGGGGUAGGGGUAAAAUCCUGUAAUCCUCCGGGGACGACCAGUGGCGAAGGCGCUACACUAGAACGGCUCUGACAGUGAGGGACGAAGCCCUGGGGCGCAAACCGG